GAUGAAAUCUAUUUAUAGUUAACUCUAUUUUUAUUCAAAGAAAAACAAUAGCACUGAAUUUCAGGCAGUUUGACCAGACACUGAGGAAAGUCUGUUGGAGCUGAGGAAAAUCUCGAGCUGCCUGAUCUUGAAAGCUGAGCUAGUGAGCUCCUCCGGCAUCAGCAUUUCAGUGCUGUCCUCUCUAAGGUGAAACGCUGUGCUGGAAGGCUGCCUGAGUGGUUUUCCUGUUCUGUGGCCCUAUCGCUGCAGCCGCCAUGGAUCUGAAUGCUGUGGCUGCAAAGGCUUCUUACUUUCUCAUACUGGAUCCCUCAAAUCCAAGAGCUGCUUGGCAGUUUCCAAGGCAACCACCUGUGGAAUAAUUAAAAAGGGUGAAGCGUUAGUGUGCCAAAGAUACGGAAUUCUUGCCGGGAGAGAGCACUUCAUUUUCAUCUGUUAUGAAGAAUCAAAUGUGUCUCUGCCAGCAAAGUUAAGCUUCUGUGUUACUUUUUGAAGUAAUGAGGAGAAAGCAAAGCAGCGGAUCAGGCGUUUUCCAAGUCUGUGCUUCUGCAGAUCGGUUUCCUGAGGGGAGAGCCAUCUUUCAAGUGCCGCUUUCUUCAAGUGAAAAGGGAACAGUUCAUCUUCAUGCAGCGUGCUGCAAAGAAGAAAUGGUGACCGAGCUGUGCAAGUGAACCAGGACAAUCCAAAAAGCACCAAGUGUCGGUGAGUCCCACUUGCUUCUAAGCCAGCCUGGGAUGGAUAGACUGAAGGCGCUGCUCCUGACAUCUAGGCUCCGAGGGACGCAGGCUGUGAUGCCUGGUGGGUUGGAGCUCCGAAAGCACUGAUUCAGCAUCCUUGAGCUUGCAGUUUUGCAUACCGUAUUUAUAGCAAACGACACUGUGUGAUUUGGGCUUUGAGUUUUGCAUGCAGAUAGCAGGGGGAAAAAUACAUCUUCAUAGGAAAAGACAAAACAAGGAUUUUCUCUUCAAAGCUCCAAGUUGUUCCAGGCAUGGGAAGCGAUGAACGUGCACUCCUCUCUAGUUUUCAGCAUCUUUUCUGUGGGGCUGAGGUCUGUCUCUUCUGUAGAAGAAUGCCUCUUCCCUUCUUCCCUGCUGCCCCGGCUGCUGGGCUGCACGGCACACGCCCUUUCUCAGGAACUCAUCCUUAGCUAACUGGCCCGGAGGUCUGGGCUAACAGGCUGGAAAAUUACAGCCAGCUCCGUCAGCCUUCCAGGAGGAGAGCUGCUGGUCCUCGGAGGAGGGCGAUGGCUGCGUCAGGCCGUGCUGAUGGGCUGCUGGCUUUCUUCACUGGUGUCUGUGCCUGCAGCGUCUUCCAGCCCUUUCUGCACGGGGCAAUCCCAGCAGAAGCUGAGCUCGGACGAGGCAGGUUGUUCCCACACGUGCAACCAGCCCCCAUCAACAGGACGAGGGGGCGCAGAGGAUGCAGCAAGGAGAGGAAGAGGAGGCUCACAUCUCGCUGGGUGUAUCUGUCACAAGUCGGUCAUGGAGAUUUUCCUCCUGUCUUCCAGGUUUAGAUGUGUGUACGUGAGAAUUGAAGUAUUCCAGAUGGCUUUUAGAAUAAAGGUCUUAACGUUGCCUAUGUCCAUACGAAAAAUAAUUUGCCUUUAGAUUCCAAUUUAGGAUUAUUUUCCCGUUCUUGGUUUCCAGCUACUGAAUCUCAUGUAUCGUGUGCGUAUAGAAGAAAAGAGAACUGGUGAGAUGAUGUCACAAACGACAAAAAUCUGCAGAGAUUCCGCUCAGAAUUAACACUUAAAACUCUGGAAAACCUUGCUGCUGUAGUGCAUAUCAGAAUUUUUAAAAUACCGUUUGCAAAGGCUGUGAGGGUAAAGCCACGGAGCCUGGAUACGUGCAUUCUGGUUCUACUCCAUCUGUUUUGUAAGCUUGGAGAAGUUGCUUUGCAGUUUCCUGCUUCGGUUCUCCUGUCAGCAGCGUGCUUUACUUGCUCUUGAUAAAGCACUUCAGAAUAAAACCUUGAAUUGGUAUUGUUAUGGACUGCCAUAAACUUAAUUAAAAUCCUUUUCCCUCCUCACUCAUCCCCUCCCAAGAUGAGAACAAGCAGCCUGUUCUUUUCCAAGUGGUACGAUGGACUGAUGUGCUGCAGCUGCUUAAGGUUAGGCUUUACCUGAUCCCUUCUGCUCUCCAGACACCCAGUGAGCAGCUUCAGAUGGAGAAAACCCUUGGGUUUCCGGCAUCUCUGAUUCUUUUGGGGCACGGUCUGGCAUGCGACGUUUCCUUGGUCGUUUUACGUAGCAGGCUGGAGUUCCCAAACAUCCUGGCAUGGGUCCGUGCAGGCUGCUUUACCUUAACGCUGGCUGAUCUUGCCUUGAGUCAACCAGAGCUCAGUGUAUCAUGGCCAGAUGGCUUACCUACAGGCUGGCGGUGAGUGAAACAUCGUUUUCAGCGCCUCAGAGCACUCUUGUCAGGCUGUUAGAGCCCAUCAGCACCCUUCCUCAGGGCAGAGGAGCUAAUGGAGCCACACCGACCUGCCCUUACGCAGCUGCAAGUACGGAUCUCAGUGCGGAGAGAAGCUCUUGGGCUAAACCUGCUGCUGGCGAGCACGUGAGAAGUGAAUUCAAGCGGGCAUUAAGCUCUGGGGGUGCAGGAAAACCCAUGGAUUUUGCACGGCUAAGCGUUGUGGAAGCAGUUGAGCUCAACAGACUUAAAUCUCCACGCUUGGAAGAAACACCCAUGCUAAGGUGCAGCCUUACUCAGUGAUCUGCCACUCGUGUUCUCCACUAACACUACCGGUGUCCUGGCCAGAUCCCCCCGCAGGGAGCUGAAAAAGUGGAUUAUAUGAAAGUAAAACUCUUCAGGCUUUUUGUUCUGUGCUGAUGCCUCAGCCUUGCUGCAGCUGUGCUGUGCCAGCAUCUGCACUCCGUAUCUAGAAGCAGUGAGCGCACUCUGAAGGGUUGCUGCUGGGCGUUGCUGUGCUGCAAGGGUGUUAAAAGCCUUGCGGUGUGUACAGAGGUCAGGUGUAAGUUGCUUUAAUUAAAUGUAAAAGCUGCGUGCACGUUGCAGAAGAGGGCAGACAGGGAUUCCCUCCGCUGACUUGUCCUCUUGCUGUCCGGAUUUCUUUGCUGUUGUCUCCCCUCUCACAUACUUGGGCAGAGAAGUUUCAUCUUCUCCCUCCCAUGCUGUUACAAAUGGCAUCUGGCUUUGGAAACACAACAAAUCUGGGAUGUUUUCUGCUGUCGAGAAGCCAUUCUUGCUAUUUGGUGCCAGAGCCAUCCUCGUCCUUCCUGAAACACACACCUAGACAGCAUUUAUUUCAGUCAGGAAAGCAGAAUUCCCAUCCUGUGGGAGGCUUCUCCGAUCUGAUUUUUAUUUUUUGAAUUACAGAGCUUGGACUACCCACCCCAGGGCUGGCAGGCGGCCGGGCAGGAAGCUGGACAGACUGGCCUGCCGGCCAAUCUUGUUGCCUUUUAUAGAGCAUUUUGAUGAAAUCAGCACAUUUCCAUGCAAUCUGUGUUUUGCAACAUAAAGAUUGUUGUGUUGGGAAGGGUUUUGGGGCAGCUCUAGUUGUAGUCUGCAACUCGCGUCUUCUGGGAAGCUGCAGACCAGUUUUUAUUUGUUAUUACAGACAACCUCGUGAGAAGAGAGGUUGUGGUUCUGUGGAAGAAAACCCUCCUAGAAGGAUGUUCUCAAGCCAGCACGAAGGAUUUCCCUCUGCAUGUCAGUGCUUAGACGUCCCGAAAAUAGAGCAUGGCACUGUGAUGCACAUCUUUGGAGCAGGUUGUUUAGUGUCUUCAAGCCAUGCUGGUGAUAAACUGGACCUGACUCUUCAUCCUGCUCAAAGCAAGACUGCGAUUGGAGUCAGGUCAAGCUGCUCUCAGGGCCUUUACUACUUGAACAUCUCCAAGAACUGAGAGCUGAUGGCCUUUCUGCCCCCUUCUUCCAGUGUUUGCUCAUAUCUGUGUUGGAGAAUUUUCCUUGCACCUAAUCAGAAUUUGCCUUUCUGCAGCUCGUGGCUGUGGCCGCUUGCCGUUUGGCUGCGUGGGGCUGAGCAGCUGCAGUUCCUCAGGAACCCCCUGCAGGUGAGCAGGGCUGGAAGCGAGCAUUUUGUGCGAGGCUGUGAGUGGUAUCCAGGAACCCUCCUUCCAUCACUCUUCCACUCCAUCUCUUCCUCUCUCUGAGCGUGGAAGUGCUAAGGAGAAGCAGGACGUGGAUUAUCAAGAUACAGCCGUGUUACUGACUGACUGUUGACUUUGGACUUCUUUAGCAUCAUCCCAAACUCCUUAAAUCCACCAGUGUGAGUGAUCCAGGUAUCUUACACUUAAAACAACUCGGACUGAUUUUGAAUGUAUUUUCUUUUGCUUGCUUCUUUUCAGUAAAUGAAUCUUCCUCCUUGGAAGAUUCUUUGCAUUUUGAGGUUGUAAGCUGUCAGUGAGUCACCAAUUACCAGCUCAGUGUAAAUAAUUUCAAGUGAAAUCAUUACUUGUUAACUUACGUAGUUGGUGCGGUCAGAGGAAACAUGAGGGCAGCCUUGGCUCUCUGGAGAAGCUCAUGUUGUAGAGGAUUUUGAGUGUGUCCCGAGAAUGGACUGGUUGUUUACACAGAUGUUACAAAUCAUCCAUACCAUUUCAAAUGAGUCGGUCUCGCAUGGAAUUCCAUCCGUUAAGGAGUGAUAUAUUUGAACAUGGGAUGACUUUAUCUGCUUUUCUUGUUGCCUGUUGAAGCUCUGGUAUUUGCACAGUCACAGCCUGAAAGCUGUGUGUGUGUAAAUCCCACCAGAGGGGAACCUAGAAGAUAACCAAGAACACCAGUAAAAGGAAGGAAUAGGGGAACUUCACCUUCCUGUAGUCAGUCUGUACAGGUUUGGUGGUUCUUGUGUACACAGUGUAACUUCCCUGGAGCCCAUCCAGAUUCACAGUGGGUAAGUCACUCUGCAGAAAUCAAAGGAGGUAUAAUCUUGUAAAACUUUUAUAAAAGGAAGGUUUUUGCAUUUCUGUCCAGAAGCUGCCUAAGCAAACAUCUAAUAUUGACUUGAUCUCGUAGUCUGAUAGCCUGCCUUUGACUUGGAGUGCGAAACUUAACUCGAGCUAAAUGAACCAUACCUUUUUUUUUUUCUUUAAACAUUUAGCAUCUUCCUUAGAAAAGCAUGUAAGCCAGGUGCUCCUGUCUUAGCAAAAGCUAACAAUUUAAACUCCUCCCGUGCUUGCUGUUUUCUCCCAGCUUCUCCUCGAGUGGUCAAGGUGCAUAGGGAACUAGAGGGCUGCUAACAUGGCUGCUAAUGAAAUAAAAUGCAGUGAGAUUCAAGAGGUUGCAGCCUGCAGGAGUCAGCUCUGCAAACUGUUUUUUCCAUACCCAAGAAACAUGAGUCAGAUUUUGCAAAGUGAGUCAAAUCUAUCUUCAGAUUCAUUUGAAGGCGCUGCAUUGGAUGUAGAAUUUGAAACAGUAUUAUGCAUAGAAAGGGCUCAUUAAACUGAUUGAGUUUGCAGUAUUCCCUUUGAGUGGGAGGGGGGACGGAAUGGAUGAAAGUGACGGGGAAAUGUGGAAGGAGGUUCGGGUAUUCCUCAGUCCCCAGAAACGUGAGCAGUCCUCCUGCAGCCUGGAGGAAAUAGAAAGGUGAUCCUUUCUUCUGUGCUCCUGGGGGGACUUCCCAGGGCCUGAGAGAUGGUUAUUAAUUGAAGUUUGCUUAUCCUCGCUGCUGCUGCUGAUCUGUGGUUGGUCUCCAGCCUGAGAGCAGCACACGAGGGUGCGGGCGCUCCCUGGGCUUUCACAUUCUUCUGCCAGAAGCCUACUGGAGACGUCCUUGGAGAUCCAGACACAAACCCUGGCCCACAAGGAGGGCAGUAUCCGCCUAACACCUUCGUUUAAAUAAAUUAAUUUCCUUUUGUUUUGCACUUCUUGCCUUUAUCUUCACCUGGGUAGUGUUCCUGCCCAUAAAGCUGUCCUCUUGGGUCAAAUGUGCUCGAGCUGUAGCCCUUGGACAGGAUGUGACUCCUGCAUGUUUUGCUGGCUGUGUCAUGCACAAACACUCCCUUUCCUCUGGAGGAAUUAGAUGACAAUUAAACUUGGAGGCACAGUCACCUUCCAAGUCUCGGUUUCUUCUCCUCUGUUCCCAUGUUUCACCCUCCCUCUGAGAAAUCUCUCUUUUUUGAUCGUGGAUUUCGACCAGGAAACAAAUUUGAUGGCUCCAUUCUUAACCGUUGGUCUUUGACUGGCUACAAUCAACAUCCUAAUAUUGUGCUGAGAAGGGUGACUAAUACCUCCUGUCUGCCUUACGUCUUGAAUGAACUGGUAGACAGGCAUGAGCUGAUUUUUUCCUAUUCUCGCGUGUAACCAGCUUAAAAAGAAUUCUUUAGACUUAACUUUUCUUCCACAAUUUUUGGUGGGGACCCUGAGCAAGCGGGUGACGGAAUUCAAGUGCAGCAGUACAGAGAGCAUCUCUGCUGGCGCUCGGUGGUGGUACGAAGAUGAGCUGGCAGCACCAGACACACGGGUCCCUGAUACACAAGGACUCUGGCUGCUUUUAAUUCUGCUCAUAACUUCAACACCCCUGAGUUGUCCUCACUCUGAACGAGGGACGUUGUGCUUGUAGCCACGUCCUGGUUCUAGAUUGUUCAGGUCCUCGUUACCUUUUGUAGAAGUUCCUGCUUUAUAAGAAGGUGUAGGGGACUGGGAUUCAGGAGCCCUGCAGCAGUCUUUGUGCUUAUUUCCACACCUCCACAUCUCCUCCAGUUUACUUUCUGCCAAAGCGUUGUGAGUUUUGGUGCAGCACCUCUCAAGCACCAUAAAUAAAAACCCAAAAUGAAACAAAACAGUUUUAAUAAGCCACAGCUACUAGUAUAUUUAAGCAGAAGGAGGUGGUUGGUUACCUUGCCCAGCACUGCUCUUUGUUGCGCCUCCUGCCAGGAGCCUCGGAGAUGCCCUGAACCACAGCUCGGUGCAUCUCCAGCCACCGUUCCUGGCUGCACGGGCAUUGGUCAUGGUCAGGGACACAGCAUCUUGCCUGCAGCCUCUCUCCUUCACAACUGCUGCUCUCAUUUUACUCCUCGAGGUUUUACUCGUACCCUUUUGGUUCCUUUUCCUCGCUACAUGGGUACGUGACUCCGUUACCACUCUGCAGCUCCAAGUCCUCCAGUGACUUCUGAGUUAAUUACCAAGAGGCUGAGAACAGCAGGUUUGGGAUUUUUCAUGCAAAGAUCCCUUUCGGAGAGGUUCUGCAUGCUGCUUGGAGAAAGUAGUUGUUGCCUAAGGGAAUUCAGAAGUCUGCUUCACUGUCGGGCUGACCUGCAGAGCUGCUUCUCCCUCUGAUGUUUAUGUAAAAUUUUAUUUCUAAGGAAUUUAACAAGAUUCACCGUUGGCAGUUAUCUCUUUCUGAUAGCUGCUCAAGAACAGAAUUUAAAUUAAGCCUGUAAUUUCGGGCACCUUUAGCUGAGUAAAAUAAACCCAGUUCUGCUAGCAGCUACCUCCCCAGUAAUGUAGUCACUGUUGGAUGGGAGCAGUCUCCCUGAAAGUCCUUUGUAUGUAGGAAUGCUGUACGCCAUCCCCUGCACAUGGUUGAGGAUGCCUGAGUCACUCCGGUGAAGACAGAUUUCUAAAUCAGCGUCCACUUUUGCUCAGGAUUUCUAAAACAGAACCACUUCCUGGACAGUGCGAUAAACAGUUACAUUGUUUUUUGUAAUUAUUUUUGUCUUGGUUUUGAAUCUUUCUUGGGGUUGCUGCCACACAUGCCGGAGGCAGAUCUGGCAGUUUCAAAGUACUGGAAAAUCCCUGAGGAUCUGGUAAUUAAAGUACAGAAACCCCACGUUGUGACCCACCGGCCAUAUUUUCGGCUACAUCCAGUAUCUCAGCUAUGCACGUGACGCGUGUCCCGCGUUCUGGUCAGACUGUGCCUUACCGCUGAGCUAACACACAACUCAGUGAUAAUUAUUUUAACAUUUUAUUACUUCCUAGAUGCCAGCACAAUAGCUGGAUCUGUCGUUCUCCAACACAAAGUUACAUUCCACUGAAACACUUGACCGUGUCACCAGGACCCUGUAAGAGAUUCACCCCGUCGAUUCAUAGCUUGCUGCUGCGCAGUGCAAAAUCCAGACGGUGCUGCUGACUCUGGCCUAGUAAAAUGAAUUGUCGUUACGGUUUCCCUCUCUGCACGUGUAAUGUAUGGGUUUUUAGCAAGCCUUUGUCAAAAGGGAAUAGAGUCCUUCAGUAUUUAAAAGAGGUCAUCUUAUUAAAAGCGAGCUUGUACCGCAGAGCCAUUUUUUUUCUUCUCUUUUCCAUUUUUAGGUCAGAUGAUUCAGGUUUUCCUCCGUGCUUUUAACCUUUUGCCAUCUGAGCGAGUUGUUCGAGGGACAGCGAUGCUUCGAGGCCAUUACUGAAAAAACACUGCCUUUGAUAGGGUGGUUCUGUUUCACUGUCUUUUUCUCCUGUAGUGUUUGCUCUUAAUUUCUUAUUCCUCUGUUGUUUUCCAUUUUUCCUUAGCACUGAGCUAGCAUCAUCCUAAUGAAUGCUCCUCUUGUGUUUUUUAACCUCUCACACUUCCCUUUUUAGCAUGAAAGUCCAUACAGGAGAUGGGGGAGGAAAAAAAAAGGUCUACAGCUCAACUAAUCUACCAGCUUUUCAUGGAAAUGUAUACAGAAUUGCUAGUAACAGAGAAAAAAAACAGCAUUUUAACACUUCUCAUUCUCCUUUGAACAGAAAUUUCCAUAGCUUGCUGGAUGUUACCUCCUUGCAUUUUGUCCUUCAGAUAACAAAAUGAGCGUAUGCUUUCAUAAACUUCCUCUGUGAAAGGCAGGAGAGAGUUCCUGAUGCACUCGGAGCUUGUCCUGCCUUCUACAUACUUAAAAUAGAUUUAAAAAUAUCGGCAGGAGCGUGUAAGUCUGCAAGCGUACAUAGAUCAAGAAUAGGUAGCUGGAUUGCUGGAGACAGUGAUUAGAGAAGGGGUGGCAGAGCUGUGUUGAAAAAUAUCCUGCAGAUGGAUCGUGUCGUUCUCGUCCAGUGCAGGAAUUGUGCACUGAGCAGACCUUUGCUGAAACAAUGGCUGCGUUUGAAAAGCAGAGGCUAAAUUCUGCUGUUAAAGUGGCUUUAUGUCUUUAAAGGGACCUGAUAUUUUAUUUUGUUUAGCAUGGGGUAAAUCUCUCAAAGGCAGUGGAGUUACACGAGGCUUACAUCGGAGUAACUGAAAGCUGAUUUUGGCCCUUUAUGUUCUGUGCUUCGUAGUCAUGUGGUGCUAUUUCCAUAAAUCAUGCACUUGAAAGGUUUUCUUGCUUCCUGCUUUUACCAAUCAGAUCAUAUAAAAUGCAGAUGAACCGAGCUUCUGGUUUAUAAGCCUAAGCAGAACACCCCCUCUAAAUCCCCUUUUAUCACGCCGGUCCUGGUUCCCCCAUCUGAAAACAAGAUAGCAAGAAUGACAAACUUUGACUAAUACAAUGGAGUUUUUUGGUCUCCUCCCUUUCUUAUUUUGACCUGUACUUUGCUUUCGUUAUAAAGUGAACGUAGAAAUUACCCUGUGGGAGUGGUGAAACUGCAGCAGAGAAACAAAAACUAUUUGGAUUCUUCCGAAAGCUAUUCAUUCGCUUGCUCUUCUUUUUAUUAACGGCUCGAAGCAUGCAGUUUGUCUUGUUCUGACUACGUAUCCCUCAGCAGGAACGGAGAUUCAGAAGGCGUCUGUGAGCGGCCGGGCAGGACUAGCACAGGAGAGGUGCUUCUGGUACCUGCUGCCUCUCGCCUGGGGCUUGUGCCAGCAAGGAGCCGAGGUGCCGACUUCACAUCACACCUGGGCUCGAUUUCGGAUGCUUCUCCUGGCAAUGCAGGGGAGCUGCAGGAAUUGAAUUGCUGGGUCAAAAGCUCUGCUCGCACCUGCUGACAGUGGGAUUGCGCAGAAACUGUUAAGAGUACUGACCACUGCAACCCUAGCUAGGAGCUCGUUUGCUGUUACGCUUGAUACUAAGGCUUAGAACAACAAUCGUAAGAGCAGCGUGCACCCGCGAUGGAAAUACAGAUAGUCAUCACAUUUCUGAGAGGGCAGGUGCAGGAAGCUACUACAGGGAAGGAGGCUUACUAGUUUUCUCAAGGCUUGGGAUUAUGCAGUGGAGCAGCGUAUUUUAGACGCUACGGAGAAAGUUCACAACAGCAUGGUCAAAAGGGACACACUCAAGGGAAAGUGAAGGGAAACGCUCACUUGGUCUGAGAAAAAAAGCAAGCAGUUAAUGCUGGUAGCUCUGCUGACUAUACAAUCCUGAGGUAGCGUCCAUAGGAAAAUGGCCACACAGCUUAAACAAGAAGGAAAGGAAGUGGAAAACACGCGCUAGCAUCCAGAAACGGAUUCCUGAGUCAUGGAAGAUGGCUGAGAUGGGCGUUGUCAAUAGGAGCUGCAUAAAAGCUCCCAUUUUUGCAGACGCCUUCUGGGCUGGUAGACGUUGACGACGAUGUUGUAAGGCUGCGUGACACUAAGGAAGUCGGUGCGUGACACUCCGGAUGCCACGUGGUUGCCCUGUUUACAGUCAGCCCAGCUCAGUGGCCACCUUCUCUAAAAUGGGCUUGUUUGAGCAAAUCGUUCACCCCUGUUACAGCGAGGAGGAUCGGCGGGGCCGUGAAACCCGUCCACGAUGGCUGUAGGCAGUGCUCAGGAUACACAUUAUCUUCAUCUUACCUGGAAACCUAACAGGAAUUUUAUGGCCCUUGAAAGCGGGAUGAGUGCUGUUUGUCUCGUGGUUUUACAGCCUGGUGUAAACAGAGCGCUGCUCCAGCCUGGAAAUGCAGGAGGCUGCUGGAACAGUCGAUGUUGCUGAGAGGCAGGUCGUGCCUUCGAGGGGUGCUGCUCCCACCUUCACACCGGUGCUGAUCUCCUGAGCAUGCUUUCCAUAUGCCAAAGGAAGAACACGAUGUUGGAGGGAAAGCCUAUUUAUAAAUGUGUACCGACUGAAAGGUAAAUAACUCCCGUUUCCAGUAAAUUAAUGGAAUAUGCUCUCUGCACUGGAUGUGUUCCCUGCUGAGAAGUAGCUGGGGUAAAUAUAUCUGGCAUGUAUUGUGUUUGUUGCUCUGCAGCACGGUACGUAGGAAGCAGGUAUUUUUAAAAAUCGUGUUCUCAUUCUUUGCUUCUUAAAUACAACAGAAGAAGGGUUCAAAGGUGGUUUGUUUUGCUCUGAAAAUAUUUCUGGAUUGGCAUUCGUGUUUUUGCAGUGUCAUCCCUGAUGGGAGGGGUCAAGAAUACUUAAAUCUUCUGCUAAAAGAUUCUCUGCAGCCUGUUUAUCAGGCAUGGGAAUUCAUCUGGGAUUAAAAACAAUCACACUUGGAUCUGAUUAAAUUUCCUAUCCCUUUCAUUUUCUGUCUUCUCUUCUGUGUGGUAAUUCUAUUUUACUUGCUCUUCAGUAAUCAGAGAGUCUUUCAAAGUAAUCAUAAUUGGAGUUUGUACUGUACCAGAAAAAAUACAGAGAAUUAAACAUUUUUGUGCAUGUUUAUUGUUACUUUUAAAUGAUACCUAAGGGCAAUUCUUUUCAGGUCACUUUUCAUCCUCAGACAAAUUAGCGUGAUGAUUUACGUACCAGUGUGAACGAAGCACUGAAGAUAAGCAGAGGGGCAAAAAAAUUACAAAUGCCUGGUUUGAAGAGCUGACUUUGUAGAGACGUGAGUGGAUGCAAUACAACGCACGGCGCAGGAACACAAACAGUAGGUGUAGUUUCUGAGGGCUUCAUGACGGGGGCAUUUCUGUUCAGCGCUGGGAUUAGCACUUCUGUUGAAACUUACAUAACAGAGCCUUUGCCGGGGUGGUUUCUAAAAAUUAGGUUCGUUGCUCUUCGGAUUCCAGAGGCUUUAAGUCAGAGGAAAUACUUUAAACUGAAGAACUGGUUUGUUUUUUUUUCCAUUGAUCAUUGGUUUCCUCCCAGUUCCCAAUUAGAUCCUACUGCAUGUGUAAGACAGCAGUGGAAGUGAAAAAAAAAAAAAGGGUUUUAUAGUGAAAAGACUUGGGCAAGAAGCACUGAGUUUUGUUGUGAGUAGUUCCUUCAUUAAUGUACCUUUGUUCUAAGCAUACCUUAGAAAAAACAGGGAAUUAGGUUGAUCAUGGUACAGUUGUACGUUUCUAAAGUUAGAACAUUCUAAAGUAUAACAUCUGCCACUUUUGUCCAGCAAGUGAUGAUGCCCUCCAGAAAAAAACUACACUCCUCUCUCUGUUGCCCUGAAGAUUGCUGUUUGACAGAAGAGCAGUCAGCUGCUAUGGUGAUGGGCACGGGAUGGGAACAUGGACAGAAAUAGUGGUGAGGCUGAGGCUGGGCUGUUCAUCCUUCCUUACUGUUUCAGCAGCUCUUGCUGAAUUUUGUAUGAUUGAAUUCAAGGCAUUAGCAGGCUAUCUUACUUUUUUUUUGGCCUCAAAUUCUAGCAAGUACUUCAAAAUAAUAGGGAAAAAGAAGAGUGAGACACUCAAGCUGAUAAUAUUUGUAUAAACCUGCAUCUCAUUCCCUGCAGUGCAGCUUGUGCCUGUUGUGCUUGAAUUUAGGCACACAGAAAUCUUCUUCCACCUAUAAGAAUUAGUGUUUUUUUUCAGUAAUUUUCAGUAAUGAAUAAUUCAUAUACUAAAGUCUUUGUCACAAGAACAUCUCACUGUUUCUCCCCCAGCUUGAUAAGCUUUUGUAUUCUUAGGAUUUCCGUUUCCCUAAUCAGCCCAAAAUAAACCUGAAGAGGUUUCAAAAAACAGAAUUCAGAGUAAGUCUGAGAUGACUGCACGUCGAGGAUAUUGCUUUGCACAGUAGGUGAUCCUCUGGCAUUUUCUAUUUACAGCUCCUUCUUUUGCAAAGAAUUAUUUAUCUGCAGUACGAGGCCACACCACUGCCAUGCAUUCAGUGCCUCAAAGUAGACCAAAUUGGAUAUAUCUUAUUUAGCUUCUAUUUUUCAAUAACUUCUGAAUCUGUAAUCCAGAAUGACUCCUUUGACAGGAAACUUAGUAUCUGUAUUUUAGUGUUAAGGUUAGUGGUAAACUUUGGUUGUCUGUUUCAUCGAUUUGACUGUAAAAGCUCUCACUUAAGUUCAGACUGAGAAGCAGUAACUUGGCUAAAAGCCUGUCUAAGAGUCUGGAGGAAGAGAAGAAUGAUUUUGAGGUUGUCUUUUAAUUCACCUAUUUGAAGAGCAACACAAAGAGGGGACUGAUUCAAACAGCUGCUGAUACUUUAUUUUUUCUUCCAGAUUCUGAGGACAACCCUUUCUGUCAAUAGUGAGCUGUUCCAGAAAUAGAUGGAGAAAAUUGUACGUGGGGGAAGCUGUUUUUUUUCUGAGGUAUAGCACAUCUGUGUCCCUCCUUGGUAUCAGCUGGUACUUGGAGAUACCUUGCGGCAUUAGCCAUCAGAUUUUUCCUGCUGGAAGCUUUGAGAAGCUUCUGAAAUUAAAAAAAUAAGCUUAUUGUAUGUACGUUACAGAUUAAUUAGAUGUUUGAUCAGUGGGUAAUGCCAGUCUUUAUUCAAGGGCUGCUGGCUUGUUCCAGAGGAAUGUUCCCCAGUUCGCUUACUUGGUAGACCUUUUCAUUACAGCUAAACAAAGGACAGGAAGGAAAGCGAGGUAUGUGAAGUACUGUCAUCAGGGUAGGAAAUUUUAACAGUAAUGGUUUGUCAUGUCGUUAAUUUCCUUCCCCAAAUGACCUAAACACUUCUUCUCACCUGUUUAUGUCAAGUCAGCGCGGACAUUCUGGCCAAACUGAAUUCCAGCUGCGGAGGCUUCAGUUGUUUCUUUCACAUAGCUGAUUUUAAGAUAACAAAAUUGCUCAGAAAAAAAAAAUACGAAUGGAAAAAUUCAGGCAGCAGGCCAAGGGUGAAAGCUGGACCUUUUAUAAAGACCUAGUAAAACUUUAGUAAGAAACUUAAAGUUUGGUGUAUUGAUUUUUUUUUCUCUGUAAGUUCAAGAACUGUGUUUCAUUGCAGGCUGAACUCUCAUCUCUGUUCCUCAUGACCAGCUGAGCAAGGGAGAUGGGAUUUGAUGCUAUCCAAGGUGUAAUUCCACAGUUCAUGUCUCUUGCUAGUGCCAGCUUAAUAAGUUUCUGCCUACCCCCAGCCAUUCAUUUCCAGCUCAGCAGCAGUGCAGUGCCUUCCCUUUUCUGACCAUGUGCAAACGCAGGUCCCUGAAAAUACCUCAGCAAGGAAAAGAAACACUUCUUCUCUUUGAAUUAGAAUUAUUUGAGUGAUCUUGCUUACAGCAUGGCCCACCAAGGGUUGUAUCCGUACAACUAAAGGUGACGUGCAUCUGCAGGAACUGCAGCAUCAGAAGCACAGCAAGCGUUGGAGGGUGUCCAAAUGUUAAGUGGUCUUGUUGUCAGUGAAAAUCUGCUCUGGGACUGUAUCCUGGUUAAAGGGGUUUCACUAGUCACGGUAAUAUUUAUUGGUCUGCUUUUCAUUUUAUUCUACUUUAUUUAUUUUUUUAAAUUAGCAUCUUCUUGUUUGGACACUUUUUUUUAUUUAUUUUUUGAGGAGGUAAAGCAUCCCUGAGAAGUAAAUCAGCUUUGUGGACAGCCAUGAAUGUCAAUAAAGUCUUGGCAAACACAGUAGGUAUUUAUUCAGCCUUGCAAAUUAAAAACAUUUUUCCUGCUUGUUUUGUGAAGGGAACAAAAAAAGACAAAUUACAUAGCGGAUGAGCUCUCUUGAUAGUUGGAAUUCAUUAGUCUGGUGGUGAAAACGCUGGGGGAUUGAUGGUGCAGAAAUAUAAAAGAUGAAACAGCUUUUCCCCAAUAGCAGUGGUUUAAGUUCAAGUUGAAAAUGAAUGGGAAAAAAAAGACUUUAAACACAUCUGUAACUGACUUCACAGUCCCAAUUACUAUCUUGGUAGGCAGUUCUUCCUCACUGCUGUUAGUAUUAAUUGUUUUUUCAGCUGGAGGACAAUUCCUCAAUGGUUGCUCGGCCUUCAUGCCAUAGGGUAUCUGCAGCAGCUCGUAAAUGAGAUAUAUGGCCAGGCGUUAAGUAGGAAGUUCACACACUCCUUUCCCAUGCUAUAGCCGUUCUGUGAACAGAGGCCUUCUGCAGAGUUGUCAAUCUGUCAUCUUCCCUUGGCUUCACAUUUUAUUUAAAAAAAAAAAAGGAAUUUGAAAAGUUACAGUAAGUUGAACAGUUUGUCAGACAUAACGCACUCGCAGGCUAUUGUCUGCAAAUUACAGGCUGGCUCGGUCUUUCAGCCUGUCAUGGAUGGAUCAUAAAGCUGUCAUAAGCAAAGCUCUAACAAAAUCCAUUUGCACGGCUCCUGUUAUGGCAGAGCAUGGCGAGGAAGCAAUAGGACUCAUUUUUGAGGAAUUUCCUGUCCAGGAGCUUUUUAGUCCAGUUGAAAGUCUUUGCAGGUCACUCCCAGUAGAUGUUUUCCCUGAUUAUCCCUGGAUUCAUGUGAUAAAAUACACAAAAUUGUCACUUCCGUUCAGAAAGGGGUCACAGUUCACAUGCUAUUCUGAGUGCGUAACCACUGGAUUUAAUCAGUAGGAGGGAGAGGGUUACCUGAUACGCCUUGGACUGCAGAUAAACCACGUGUAAAUCACCAGAAUUAUGGUGAUUAUCACCCAAAUCAAUGGCAAAAUAAAAAGCAGUAUAAACUCCAGUCUUGCAGUGGUUUAAUCUCAGACAAAGUUUAGUUGCUGUAAGUAAUCCUGCUGAUGUCAAAUAAACCCUGCAAAUGCUGAACUAUUUAGGGUCAGGGCUUAAACUCUGGGCAUUUCAUUCCCAUAAUUUCUUCUGAAACGUUACAGAGCAAUGUUUGUAACUACAGAAGCAAUGUAAUAGGACGCUCUUCCAUACAUAACUUUAUGUAUUCUGGGUUUGCUCUCCAUAUUUCCACAGUUUUUGCUCUUCUGUUGAGUAGGUGCCUAAGUGUGAAGGUGUUACCUUCUCUGCUCCUCGUCUUCCUCUCCAGAUAAACAAGGAAAUUACUCUUAGCAAAUCUAGGAAGGACAGAAAAAUCCAAGAUCUGAAGAUGUUCUGAAACUUACAGGGCCCAGAAGUUAAAGGACCUAAUUAGGACUCCCGGAGCAGUGCAUCAGUUCUCUCUCUGCAGUUCAUCUGUUUCACCCAUUUAGAAGUGACAGUUUACAGCCCUAAUGCGAGAGUGUUUCUCAUUAUCUGUGCUCUGGAAAUGCACAGCGUCAUUACAAGUUUUGAAAGAUGCUCUCUUCAAAAGUACAAAUGCAUUACACGGGAGAGUUUGCUCCCUGGGUAGUCAUACUGAACUGCUGUGGUCUGCACCCGUUCUAGGGGUAGCACUAAAGACAGAGCCCCAAAAUCGGUACCUCUGCGUCAAGUCCCAUGCACAUCACGGAUGUCACGAUGCAGACAUGCACCCUGUAACACAAUUUAGCCUUGCCUUUGUCCAGGGAAGAUAAUGGUUGUGAAGCUUUAUUGCUUUCCUUGUCUCACAGAUGGAUGUCAGGUUUGUUGGACUUUCUCCUGAAGAUUUAAGGGGGGGAUGGGGGGGAGCGUGUUAGCUGUGCUGCUGACAGAUACCCUCAGGGGAACUGUCCACGCUCAUUGGAGAUUUUCCAGCCAUCUCUAUCUCCAGCCAUCUACUAGUUCAGUUUCUAGGCUAAGAUAAGUUGUUCAGGUUGUCAUCGUGGUAAAGGAAGAGAGAUACACACCUCUGGAGGUGAUUAACCUGUAGGAACAGAUGUAAUUUUGUUUUUUGACAUGAUUUCCUGCCCCCGGAAAGAAGGAUUUUGAGACUACGUGGCUGUCCUCAGGAGACCGCAGAUGGGUUCGGCUUGGGUGAAGGCUGUAAUCAGCUUGAACAGAGCUGCCAGCAGCAGGCAGAGUACAUGCAGGUAGGACACUGCAGAAGGAAACAACAAGUGCAAUGCUUCACUUCUUGAAUUACGCUACAGCAGGGCAAAGUUUGAGGCUCUUUAUGCCUUGGAAGCGGUUCAAUCCUGUCCACACUAUAAAACUGCUGUAUUUAAACACUGUUAGAGCAGCAUCGCUUCUUGCACCGCAAGAACAGUGUUAUUCACAGCCCCACGGGGCACAGUGCUUCCCUUCUGACAUCAGAAAACACAGUGCUGCUGUGCCAGUGCUGCUGCUCUGGGCGAUCUGUUCCUCUGCGAUGUACCUAUGGAGCGCUUCGCAGAGUGCGUCACCGGGAGCCUGGCUGAGCCUUGCAGCCUGUGCGGGCGCUCAGCAUUGUUCGACACGAUUCUGCGGAUGCCGUUCGGGCGUGUUUGUUCUGCCAGCUGAGAUGAGACGCCGAAGACAGGUUACAAAAAAUACAUCUGUUUGAAAAGGAGUUGUGGAGAACACACUUGAGUUGUGGAGUUCCAGGAAAGAGCCUUGUGGCUGACUUCCUAGAAGUAGUGCUGCAACCAGGUGGUAAGUGCCAGUGCUGCGUAGUCCGUAAUUACACAGUCCUUGCGUUGGGUUUGGGCACUUGCCUUCUCUCCAUGUUGCAAAUACCACCUCGGUGAGAGCUGGCAGACAGGUGGGCUUCUUUUCAGGCCAUCCUUUGGAACAAAUCUUCAACGUGCAGGGAUUAAUACGUAACUUCUGUCACACUGUUGCUGCUGCUGCUGUUAAAAAUAGUGUGCUUUAGCAUCUAGCAGGAGACGUUUCGCACGUUGUUUUGCUGUCACUAGAGGGAGUUUGCAGCAGUGCUUCUCUUACCAACGUGGUGAUCUCGGUGCUGUGGGCAGACCUCAGCAGACGCCGUGUGUGAAUAGGAGACAGCAGGAAUGAAAGUAGGACAAAGGUCCUGCCUCCCUGCUUAAACCCUUGUACGCAAUGUCCGAGCUUGACUAACCAAAUUCUUCAGGGUGACAGUGCUGGAAGCAAUUCUCUCUGUUGGUAGCGCUGUAAUAGAAAACAACUGAGCAGUCGGUGACUCAAGGCAGAGCCAAGGGUAAGAGUAAGAAAACAACAUCAAUUAUUAAGUAGGAAAAACAAAGAUGGAAAAAACCAACCUGGAUAGGUACUCCUCUGUGGCAUUUCCGAUUUGUUGUUACAGGAACAUCAUCUCAGCUAGAAACAAGCUCCCUCAGGAAGCUGGUUUCAUAUGGUGGUUUAGAUUUAACUAUUUAUUGUCUAGCACCAUUUGAAAUCAGUGUUCUUGGAGGAAGAAUGCCUGCGUUCGUCCGUGAAACGGCUCCUUGGAAACUUUGGUUGAAAAGAAAAAAUGUUGAGGUCGUUGUGUGCUUCUGCCAUUAGACUUAGCUCCACCACCAACCAAAUGACCUCAGGAGGCUGGGGCCUCUGAGUUUAUGGCCCGUGGGAGAGCAGCACGAGGUGUGAUUUCAGGGGCAGAAAUUCUGGUGUAAUACUGCUGGGCAGCAGCAUGUUUACAGCAUUUGUAGGUGGUGAACCAGAACUCGGAAACAGAGAAGGGCUUACGAGGCAUAAACACUGCAAAAAAAUGUAAUGCAGAACUGCAACACGGCAUCGAAGACCCUGAUGUUAAUGCACCCACGCUUAAAUCACAUCUAUACAGUAUGGCGAGGAAUGAGGAAGGGAACUUCGUGCUCUGCUUUCAGGCUGAAGCAGGUACAGCUUUGGUUUUAGUUCUUUACUGCCCUUGUAAGUACCUGUGCAUAGGGUGCCUCUGUCAUCCAGAGCACGACAGAAUUUAAAGCAGACCAUGGAGGCGCUGGGAGUGCUGGGUGCUGGUCCCAUCCACGUGCUGCCUGGUUGCUUUUUCAUCGUGGCGUGCUUGGCAGAUUCCAGUGUGCUUAUUUAUUGUGUCUCUUGCAGCAUUUGGGUUGCAGGUUGACAGCCUAGAAUGCCAGGUGUGGUCACUGGAAAUGGCCAACACCAGCAUCUGUGACAACGGGACCACGCAGGGCAGGCCACAUUGGCUGAGGCUACCCAAAAUCAAAGCAUUUGUGGUGUUUUAAUAUUGGCUAUACAAUUUAAAAAGAAGUACAUAGUUAAUGAUUUUGAAAGUUUCCACCUUCUAUAUCUUUAUGUUAUAAUAAUACAACAUUUUUUGGUGAAUAAUACCACAGAGGUAAUAAAUUAAUAUUAAUCAAGCAUUUGGGAAUCCUCCAAUGUAAAAUACUGUCCAGUACUUAACUCUUCAUCCUUGCAGAUCUCAGUAACCCCUUUGGAGGAUGACUGAUUUCUUUUGGUGUUCAGAGUCAAUAAUAUUUUCUAGCACCAUUUGAAAUCGGUUAUAGUGAUUGGGGAAUUGCUCCUUGUGAAUUUUACACAAGUCUCCAGAGAAUCUUUAAUGGUAUUACAUAGGACUGAAAAAAAAAAAAAAAGGAAAGUCUGGUAUUUCAGUGAACGGAACGACUGAAUGCAGAAGUAUUACACAUUUAAGCUCCAGUGUUGUUAGGUGCCUUUAUAUAGCUCGAGGUUCUUGCUAGGAGAAAAUGCAGUCUGUAGCUGUAGACGGAAUAUGUAAAAUAAGCAUCAUGAGGUUUUGAUGUAGGUCAUCAGUGUAAAGAUGGUUUGGCAAGCCAUACAGUACUGCGAGGGAAGAUAAAGGGAGAUUGUUUUCCCAAUGGAAAUUACCAGUAUGGACUCAAGAUCAAGAAAAAAAAAAAAUCAGAAAACACUGUUGGUUUAAUGAUCUAGCCAGGAGGUAUGACAAUACAAAAAAGCAGCAGGAACCCUUCCAAUCUCCAAUUACUGCACUCCGGACGUGCUGAAAGACGGAUCUUGGGAAGGAUUUCAUUGCUAACCUAAGAGCUUUUUGCCUUCUCUCCUCUUACACUGUUAACAGCAUAAGCCACAAAACUGAGUCAUCUUCCCAAGGACCUUGUAGUACCUAAGAAGUUUUCCCGAGAACUGCACUCUUUAGGGAAGCACAACUGGCCAGAGAUGCAGAGUCCAAGUCUGGGUCGUGUCCCCAGUUGCAGCAGGAUCUCAUUAGCCGUGAAGAUAAUUUCUGAAAUGCAUUCCUCAGCCAGAUUAUCAUCCUGCAUGUAGCUUUUGCGGAGGUAGUGACACAGACAGCAAUACAUGGCUCUAGCAGGGGAGCCUUUCCUAAAUAAACCGGUAAGAGCAGGAAUCUGCUGCCUUUCCCUGCUCUCUGGUAUGCAGAAACUACAAAGUUGUUGCUACAGACAGCAAACAACUGCAGCAGCUUUUGGGUGUUCGGAGGCAUUCCUGAGCUGGUUGGGGGCAGCAGAUUCACCCUUCUCCUUCCCCUGCUCUGUCUUUCCAUCAGCAUAUCCUCCAUUUCAUCAGCAGCACAUACUCUGGUUUUUCACCAGUAUAUUCUCCCUUUUAUCCUCAGCAUAUCCUCCCUUUUAUUUCUGUUUGUUUAACUAAGAAGGGAUCAAGUCAUCACGAUCCAAACGAGACUCGAGUGUGAAAAGCACACGGCCUCUGUCUCUCACUUGCAUCCUUCUGUGAAAUCCACCCGCGUGGUUUGUCUUGUUUAAACCCUCAGAAGUGGGUAGGACUGUGUUCUGUUAGUCCUUAAGUUACCAUAGAGUCGUGAAAAUGCUGAAAACGUAGAACAUCGAGUAGUGUGUUUGUUGCACUGUGAUGCCAAGAGCUGACACCUGCCCACGGACGUAUUUGGGGGAGUUUGACAGAUGUUCUUAGAGAGGUUACAAGCUGUACAGAAUGAAGCAUUGCACUCCUGAAGUGUGCUUUGCCAGUAAUCCAUGUGUUUUACGUCUGUUUGCUGUUGAAGUAGCUCCCAUCCAGACCUUUUUUUGAAUGAUUUCUUGGGCAAAGUCCUUCAGCGUAUUUGGAGUUCAGUGGUUUCCCAAGGUAAGGUCUGAGUAUCGAGAGGUUUUUAUACUUAAAGGAAACUUCAGCACAAAAACUAAUCUCAUGGCAAAAAUCAAUUACAAAUUAAUAAAAAACGAUCACACCGAAAGCACCCAAAGGAGAUUAUUAAAGUUUAAUUAUUUCUAUUGAAAGGUAAGAGGUUUUUAAGCUGUAGUAAUUUUCUCUGUUUGCACCAUAUAGUGAGAAAAACCGGAGCUGCUAAGUACUUGGGUCUCCUAAAGGCUUUUCUGACGUGAGUAACAUUGCUGGUGUGCCUGUGUCCUACAGCUUCUCAGAUCUCUACUGCAGCAGCAGGGGAAAAAAAGAAUGAAAGAAGGUGGGAAGGAAGAAAAAUGAUGCAUGAAAACAAAAUCCACUGUAAAAUACAUGCAUGAGGAAGGGAGGAGAAUUGUAUAAUGGGUUUCUUUUUCUUUUCCUUUUUUUUUUUUAUUGGAUCCUAUUUACUCUCAGCACUUGGGUCUUUUUAAAAGUGAAGCUACCAGAAGACAGUCUUGUCAGGCAGCCAGAUUUAGGUGCAAAGCAGUGCUUAUGCAGAUUGCAUCCAAAGUGCUCCUCGGGUACCACGGCGUAUAACUUCAGCUGCUGGCGAGUCUGCUCAUCCUGCUGCCUGACACCCUGCAGCAGGUGUAAAGUGCAAGGAGGUUGCUUUGUGGUCUGCAGAGUGUCUCUAGUCGCUGACUGGUCUUUUGGAACGACGUUAAAAUGAAGUAAGAGCUCGUACUAAGCCCAGACAGCGCGGGGAGUCAGCCACUGCUGUUGCCCCAGCGGUCGGGGAUUACCAUAAAGGAUGCUUGAGGAUGGAGGAAGAUGGAUAGUGGGAGUAUUUUAUCAAAAAUAUUUUAGGAGUGCCGUUUGAUGUACUAUUGUUGUAUUACUGAGGCAUUAAAACAUGUUACUACACGAUCAUCAAUUUAAUGUCAGAUUAAUUUAUCUGAAACUUCGGUGAUCCUCCAUCGUUACCUUCAGACACCUGGCUUUUGCAUAGGGCGGCUCUGCAAACUCCAUGACGUGUCGGGAAUUUAAGGGAAAAAUGCCUUGAUCCCAUUGGAUAAGAGCCUGAGAUGAUGCUGGAGAAGUGUUCUGUGCUCAUGGCAGAUAAAUUGCAGCUCAGGACCACAAUUUGCAGCAGCCUCGUCCUUACGUUAAUGAAACGUGCAGGCAUAAGAUGCUUAUGAAAGGGCGGAAUAGAAAAUAAGACAACACAGUGUUAUUCUGAUAGAUUGCUUCUGAGUCUUUCAAAGCAUUUUGAGACUUGAUAGCCAAAAAUAACCUGCACGAGGGAUCUGUCGUGUCCUUAGCAUGGUGCAUUUCCAGUGCAGCAAAGGGCUGCAGGGGUACAAGUGGAAUGGAUGCGGGUAGCAUGGGUUUUGCUGCAGGCUGAGUCCAGCUGGGACGUCUGCUAAGUAUGGAACGAGGCAUAGGCUGGCAGAGCUUUCUGGUGCUGUAAAACACAGGAUGAGAGCUCCCAAUUCAUUGCAUAUGCCAGGAGAGCAAAUUGGAAUCUGGGUAAUGCUAAUAAAAGCAGAGUUACAAUUUAUUGAAUUGUGUCCAGAGAGGAGAGUGAAGCAGCCUUUGGCUUCUGAUGUGACUCCUACGUACGUGAGAGCUCUUUGCAUGUCGUUCGGGAUGGUUGUGCUUUCUGCAGAGACCUGUCCUGCUGCCGGACACGGUUCAUCAAGGUGAUAGCUUCUGCUCUCCAGUGGUGCCCAUUGGAUGCUGAAGACACAUCACCCCUUGAGAAGGUUCAGAGUUACGGGGUUUGAGGCAUACACCCCUGCUGUAUGCUCCCUUCUUGGCCAUUGAGCAGGCAAGAGGACAUCUGGAUGUCAUCAGGCAAUACACUGGUUUAGAUUUUUGCUCAGAAGUUGUUCCCAUUCAGCUCCUUCAAAUUAGAGACCUCUUUCCAUGUGUCCCUCACCCUUUGCCCUUUCCCUCUUGUGUUCCUUCGGUGGUGGAGCCUGGUGGCUGCUUCCUCUGCUGCCUGGAGUGCUGGGCUUUGAGUCCUUGUGCCCGGUUUCUGUGCGGCCAUCCCAGCACUGUGGUCCUCUCUGCUCAGGGUUUUCUUCCCGAAGAACCCAACUCGGCAUCGGGGGUCUUGGCUUCCCUCCUGGGGGUUCGUAAAGCUGCUUCCUUGCGCACAGGAGGAGAGUUUUUAAUGGUCGCCCUGCACAAAAAGGAGAGGCAAGCUGUGGAAUUACAAGGAUUUGCCUUAAAGUUCAGCAUUCAGGGCUUGCAGUGCGUGCUUGAUUGUUGCAGAGGCCAGAUUUGCUCAGGCCCAAAUGGGCAAAGCAAUUAAUAUUUGGGUCCUGCACGUCCCCAUCCGGGUGCCAGUCUCUUGGAGCGGCUCUGCAGCAGCCUGGUGGGCACAGCGGGUUAGCUCAUCACCUCCAAGGGAUUCCAGAGCCCUUUUCCCUGCUACAUUUUAACAUUAUUUAAUCUUCAAUCUUGUCCAUCUUUACUGUGGAACAAACGAAGGGGAAUGGGGGGGUCUCCCAAAUCGUUUGCUGGUAUCAGAAAUACCUUGGGCUGAGCGGAUUGCCUGCCCAAAGGAGCAGGCUCCAGGCAGAUCAGAGCCUGCCCAGAGCACAUCUGGGGAGACGGAAAUCUCUCAGGAAAUCCAUGAAGGUGAUCACGGGCUGCUGGGCUUUCAGAUAGGCAGUUGUGUGAAGGCUCCACUGCAUUUCCAAGGUGAGAACCAAAGUCGGAGCUGAAGCGUUCGAUCCAGGAAAGGGGAGAAAUUUCCUUGUUUCGCUGCAAGGAAAUGCGCAGAUUUCGGAACUCAGCUCGGAGAAACUUCGAAGCGAAACGAUGGUGUAAAAGAAAAAAAAAAACUUCAUAUUUAAGAUUUGCCUGGAAAGCCUGAGACACUCAUGAAUAAUUGAUAGCGCAGCCUUCCCACGGCCGCUCGGCAGCACCGCAGCACGACCACGUUCGUCACCAUAUUGAGAUGUUUUCUGGCAACCCUGGAAUUUCUGUGAUGUUUUUGUUCGUUGUGGAGCUGUUGCUUAUCUUUUAAUUUCCCAAAUGAGGAGGCAGAUCUCCAAAAAGAAGAAGAAGAGUUGAAAAGCGAGGUGCGUGUGUGCUGUGUUGUGAGUGAAGCCAGCAGGUCGGUCGUAAGGAGCAGCGUGGGCAACCUGAGGGGUUUGGAGGCUCUCCUGUGUUGUGCCCUGAUGUCAAUUUUAAUACUCCUGAGUUUAACAAGGAUUUUAAAGUCUGAAUUAAAUCCUCUUCUCAGCGUGCUCUGAGCACGUGGGACCACUCAGCUUCAUUUUUGGUAGCAGCAGCUGAUACGAUCCUAUUUCACAUGGCGUAGGGAAGGCUUAAAUCCAAGCAAAGGUCUUUUAACGUGGGAGCAACCUUAAAAACAGCCAGGUUCCAUUUGGUACGGGACCUGCAAAGCUGUUCCCUAAGCCAAGUUCACAGAGCCACAGACUGGCUGAGGUGGGAAGGGACCUCUGGGUCCCUCUGCUCCCACCCUGCUCCAUCAGGGCCACCUCGAGCUGGUGCCCAGGCCACAUCCAAGUGGGUUUGAAGCUCUCCGAGGACACCACAGCCUCCGGGUACCCAUGCCAGAUCUCCGGCACCCACCCAGCCCAGAAGUGCUUCUGGUGCUCAGAGGGCACCUCCUUUUCCUUUGGGGUACCCAUCCCUGGAAGGUGCCAGGCCAAGGGCGCGGACGGGGGACCCGUGCCCAUGGUAAGGGUAUCCUUGGCUCCUCUCCCUCUCCCCAAGAAGCCUCCCAGCUGUGCGAUGCCUCCUCUGGCGCGGGGAGCAGCAGGAGCCGCGUGGUUCGCCUCGACGGGAGAGGCCGUGGGUGGAGAGGAGCUGGCGGGGAUCCCAGGAGCCGUCGGGAAGAGGCUGCGAGCGGGGGAGAGCGAGCUCGCCGCCCACUCGGGAUGAAAUCACGCCGGUAAAGGCUGCCGGGACGAAGAAGGUGUCAAGUCUAAAUAAAAAAAAAAAAAAGAGGAAGAGUGCUGGACCAGCAAGGAGGGCAGUUCCUGUGUUGGUGGGCUCAAGGAGGAUCUGGUUUUCGUAGGAGUGCACGGUGCUGGUAACGGAUACGGAGCCGGCAGCGAGGGAAGAAUUUGUCACAGGAAGGUUGGCUUUAGCGCAGGAGGAAAAUAGAAGUUGGAUAUGUGACCCGAUUGCUGGGGAUUUAUUAAUAACGUGUCUGAUGGGGGGAUUGCUGCCACCCAAGCUGCUGCCUUCCCAGUUUGACCUGUGACCGAACUGGGAGCACGGGGAAGUAGAAAAGCUCUCCUGGAGCUGGCGUGCUUAAAGCACUGUGGUGAUGGGCUGCAGAGAGGUUGCCACUCCCCUACCCAAAAAUUGUGCUGGUGCCAUACCCAAAAAUAAUGCUGGUGUCGGCUGGACGCGCUCACUGUCUCUUCCAGAGUGGUGUCCGUAUCGUACAACCAACAAGGGACAGCACCGUGGCUUUUGUUCUGCUCCAAAAUUAAAUACCAGCCAGCAUGAAGUCUUUUAGGACUUCUUUUUUCCCCCAUACUGAUACCUAAUUUACAGUAAACCAGACCAAUUAUGAGAACAGCUAUUCAACCCCAAGGAGAAGACCUCCCUCCUUGUUUUCCACCUGGAUGUCUUCCCAAGCCUCCUUACUGCAGUUCAAGCAGCAUUUUGGGGAGCGAGCAUGGUGCUGCGGCACAGCUGGGGAGCCGGGGGCGGUUUGGGGGCCCUUUGGCUCUUGCAGGCGCAGCCGAGGACAUCGCCGUUAGGUCUGGCUGUGGGGAACGGGCUCCUCAGCACUGCUCCGUCUGCUCCAGCAAAGCAAAAAACAACGCGCAAAACUCCUUCCCCACCGCCAGCGCCAGUGGGUGCAAAAUCGUAAUCAUUGCGGGAGAGAUGCUGCCAAAAAAAAAAAAAAAAAGAAAGAAAGAAAAAGCAUUUCCCUAGCUUGUUUUCUUUUCCCAGAAAACCAGAUGGAUGAAUCAUUAUAACAGCAGCUAUGACAGGGGACCAGACAACAGACUGAGCCCGAAGCCCAGCCCGGUCGAGCCAAGAUGAAAAACUGCCCAAGGAUUUACCAGUCCUCCCUCCCACGUGUGCUUAAAGGAGCGAGGCUCCACAAACAGGGCAUCCUGCUCCCGGCUGCCUUUCAGCAUCCCUCCUGGCGUACCAGCAAGCCUGGCUAUCAGGUGGCACGAUCUGGGGCUAGUAGAGCAGUCCCGUGCCUAAAUCCCGUUGAACAUUGCGAGCAAUGAGGUUGAAAAACAUGGAAAUGGAGUAGAUGCCCACCUUGGGGCUGCCCACGGAGCGAUUGCUCCGAUGACGGCCUCGUUGGAGGCUCUGCUGUUAUUUCUGCUUCCCAAGGAAGCGGAGCGCAGAGAAAAUAAGGUCCAAGAAUCUCUUAAUUUGGGGUGCUGGGUUCGAGGCGGUCGGUGCAGGAUGUUGAGGACUCGGUGUUCAACGCACGGAUUCCUCUCGUGCCAUUCUGUUUCCUUCCAACCGCCUGCUUCGUUUAUCGCCCUCUUCCAGCUUCUGCCUGUCGGGCGCUCUCGUGAUCCUCAAAUCCAACUGCUGCUCUUAGGUUUCGAGUGUUUUGAUCGCUGGCUGCAAAGCUCGAGCCGAGCCGCGCUCCCUUCCUCCCCGAGGUAAACAAGGAGUCAGGGGAGGUCGCUGCGGGUCCCGCAGGAAAUAACAGGGGCGAGGAGAUCUCUUCACCUCCCCUGCCCUCUGCAACGCACAAGGACCCCGCCGCAGGGUGAGGGCAGCCCCAAAAAAAUGGCCUCUCGGCCCCAAAAAGCUGCUUUUGGUCUCCGUGGUGGAUUUGGCACCCGGGGCUCUGCGGCAGAGGCAGCUGGGGAGGAUCGUGGACGAGGAGCAGAGAGGAUGGGGAGGCAGAGGGAUGAGCAGUGCUGCCGGCCGUACCCACGGCGUAUUUAUCGAGGUGGGAAUAGCUCGUACCUGGGCGAGGGGGCGCCUCGAAUCCAGCCUCCUGCUGGCAGCAGGACCCCAGCCAGGCUGCGCCACCCUGCCAGAGCCCCCAGGGCUGCGGGGUCCACCUGGGGUCUGCCCCAGGGCACCAUCACCUUCCCUGCAUUUUCCCUGGGGUUUCACGAGAGCAGAGCGGAGGGGGACAAUCCCCUCUCUGCCCUGCUGCCCACGCUGUGGUGGUGCAGCCCAGGACACGGCUGUUUUUGGGGCUGCAGGUGCACAUUCACCGUGACCCCAGCCUCAGGUGGCUCUGCCCGAGGAAGGACGCAUGGCGGCAGCUCAGAGCUCACACCUUGGCUCUGAGGAUGCCCAGCAGGAGGUGGACACGUCACCCACAUUGUUUUUCCUCUUAGAAACCAUCCUCCAGCCCAGUUUGUCCACGUGCAGUUUUAUGGGGUACCAGCGAUCCUCCGGCCCUGCCUCAAACCGCUGGUGCUUCGUGGCCCUGCAGCACCAGACCCCAGUUAGCUGCCCACCAGUGUCCCGGAGGUGGCAUCACACCUAUCAUAAACCCCAGGUACCACCAGGAGCUUUCUUUUUGUCAGUGUUUGGUGCAACCUUAAAAGCUGUGAGAUACGCAGAGCAUAAUGAAAACUGAGCAUACAGCUGUAAAUUGGGGGGAAAAAAAAAAAAAAAACAACUUGACAGCUGUCACUGCCAGUACGGGGGAAGGAGAGGCGAUGGGGAGGUUGGUGCUGUGCCUUCACCCCACCCCGUCAGGUCUUCGGAGGCUUUUUGUGGGCCAGGAGGGCCCGGGGGAAGGGGCCAAGGCCGAGCUGCCUCUUGGUUUGGCACCGAGGGGAAAAGAAAAGUUAAUGCUGCAGCCUAGUGGAGAAAAGCCGGCCGUGCGCAUUUCCAGCAGGGCUGAUUCAGGCGGGGUGGCAGGGGAUGUAAAAGACUGGUGGAAAGAAACCAAAGCACACUGAGCUAUGGCACUGGAAGCCUGCUUUUAUGGGAUCCCGAGAGCGAAUUCUGUAACAUAUUCAGGUCUCCAAAAGGUAUUUUGCUGUGCCCUGAGUGAUAACCCAGUGAAAAGGCUGCAGACAUCACCGUGACCCAUAUUAAAGCCAGCACAGCCCAAAUCCCUCUGCAAACAGUGCUAAGUUUUUGGCAAUGAUGUCCCCACGGGGGCAGCUCUGUGCUCUCAGAAGGAAACAAAAUACCAUCAGAGCACGUUUACAGGGUGAAAUGGUGGAAAAAAAAAUGUUCCUGCAAUGUGUGAUAUGGAUGCCUGGUGCGUGCAGCUGUGUAACCCUGUGUUUUGCAGGGCUGCAGCAUGGACAUGGGGCCACAGCCUGGGAGAAGCCCCAAGGCUGGAGAACCCAGAGCUGGCAAGUGGAAAGUCCCCGGAGCACGUGGAGUUUGGGCCAGUGAUCAUGCAAACGGGCAAGGCAGGCACCACCCGAGAGCUAAGGGCUAGUGCGAGCCUUGGCUGGGCAAGUGCCAUCUGGGGCAGGGAGAGAUGCUGUGCCCAGACCUGGGGCACAGCAAAAAUCGGCUGGAAAAUUGGAAGGAUUCCAAGAAGAGCCCCAAGAGUGAGGCAGGGCUGCAGAAGCAUCCCUCAGAGGGGUAAACCCAGGCUCAGUGCAUUAACCAAGCCAGGAGAGUCAUUCUCUCACCACCACCACCGAGUCCCGUGUCUAGGUCCCUCUGGGGACCCCAAUCCUGGCUUUGGAGCUUUGUGGUGGGUUUCCCGGAGAGCACCCAUGGGUGAAACCCAUCCGCUGAGACAUAGGGAGGACCCUGCAUCCGAUGCAGAUCCGGGGAGUGUGGGCUUGCAGGGGGUUUAUGGUUUCAGGAGCUCCCUUGCUGGGGGCAUGGCCUUCAGCACGGUGAGCAUCGCCCCCACGCCAACACACCCACAGACCUGAGACGCCCUUGGGAUUAAAUAGCAGCCGAGCUGGGGUUUUUCAGGCCCACGGUUUGGCUGUAGGAGCUGAGUUGGCGUCGAGCUGCCAAAAUCCCCUCUGUAGCAUCAUUGAUUUCACCCCCUCACAGGCUCCUCUGGAUGUACCAGGGUCCGUUCCCAAGCAGGGUGGCCCAAGGCACCCAGGAGACCUUGUGCCUGCGGUGACAGAUCUGGUUUUCAUCCCUGAUUUUAUCCCUCCCAAACCCAAGACAAACACCGGGGGAGAAUAAAAACGGGGAAGGCUACUGGUGUGUAAAUAGGUGCAGAUGGGCUCAUUAAAAACAGGCAGCGUUGCACGGAGAAGGUAGGGGAGGAGGACGGAGGAGUGUGGUCAGGAGGAGCAUCGGGAGGAGAAUCAGGAGGAGAGAGACGGCGCUGGGGUCGAGGAGGAACAUGCAGCUGCGAGGAGCCCGACAGCUGGAAGCCAAAAAUAAACCUCGACGGUGAAUCAAUUUGCUCCGAGGGACGGGUAAAUCGGGGGAAAGCAAUGACAGAGGGGAGAGGACAGAGCAUCCGAUGGGCUGAACGAGCAGGAAAACCCACAGAGCAAUGAAUCACUCCCCCCCCCCCCCCCCCCCGAAAAGCCCCUCUUCCCGAAACAAGGCGGGGGUGAGGCAGAAAACAGCAGAGACAGAAA